CAGUCGCCGCGGUAAUACGAAGGGUGCAAGCGUUAAUCGGAAUUACUGGGCGUAAAGCGUGCGUAGGCGGUGAGUUAAGUCUGCUGUGAAAUCCCCGGGCUCAACCUGGGAAUGGCAGUGGAUACUGGCUCGCUAGAGUGUGUCAGAGGAUGGUGGAAUUCCCGGUGUAGCGGUGAAAUGCGUAGAGAUCGGGAGGAACAUCAGUGGCGAAGGCGGCCAUCUGGGACAACACUGACGCUGAGGCACGAAAGCGUGGGGAGCAAACAGGAUUAGAGACCCGUGUAGUCCCUGUCUCUUAUAC
rnacentral:rRNA from 1 species